rnacentral:rRNA from 1 species
CGGUGUUCAACUGGCGUGUCCGCGGGACGUCCUGCCGGUGGGCUUAGCCCGCAAGGGCGGCCCAACUUCAAAUCCCAUCGCGGUGCUCUUCACUGAGUGUCGAGGUGGGCCGGCACGUUUACUUUGAACAAAUUAGAGUGCUUAAAGCAGGCUAAAACUUCGCCUGAAUACUGUGUGCAUGGAAUAAUGGAAUAGGACCUCGGUUCUAUUUUGUUGGUUUUCGGAACCCCGAGGUAAUGAUUAAUAGGAACGGAUGGGGGCAUUCGUAUUGCGACGUUAGAGGUGAAAUUCUUGGAUCGUCGCAAGACGGACAGAAGCGAAAGCAUUUGCCAAAAACGCUUUCAUCGAUCAAGAACGAAAGUUAGAGGUUCGAAGGCGAUCAGAUACCGCCCUAGUUCUAACCAUAAACGAUGCCAGCUAGCGAUCCGUCGACGUUCCUCCGAUGACUCGACGGGCAGCUUCCGGGAAACCAAAGCUUUUGGGUUCCGGGGGAAGUAUGGUUGCAAAGCUGAAACUUAAAGGAAUUGACGGAAGGGCACCACCAGGAGUGGAGCCUGCGGCUUAAUUUGACUCAACACGGGAAACCUCACCAGGCCCGGACACCGGAAGGAUUGACAGAUUGAGAGCUCUUUCUUGAUUCGGUGGGUGGUGGUGCAUGGCCGUUCUUAGUUGGUGGAGCGAUUUGUCUGGUUAAUUCCGAUAACGAACGAGACUCUAGCCUGCUAACUAGGCGUAUUUUCGACAUCUCAAAGGUCCGUCGUCCCGGCCCUCGGGUCGUGGGCGUGCGCGAUUUUUACUGUCGGCGUACUAUCAAUUCUUCUUAGAGGGACAGGUGGCUUCUAGCCGCACGAGAUUGAGCAAUAACAGGUCUGUGAUG